rnacentral:rRNA from 1 species
UUGCCCUAGUAACGGCGAGUGAAGCGGCAACAGCUCAAAUUUGAAAUCUGGCUCUUUUAGGGUCCGAGUUGUAAUUUGCAGAGGGCGCUUUGGCGUUGGCAGCGGUCCAAGUUCUUUGGAACAGGACGUCACAGAGGGUGAGAAUCCCGUACGUGGUCGCUAUCCUUCGCCGUGUAAAGCCCCUUCGACGAGUCGAGUUGUUUGGGAAUGCAGCUCUAAAUGGGAGGUAAAUUUCUUCUAAAGCUAAAUACUGGCCAGAGACCGAUAGCGCACAAGUAGAGUGAUCGAAAGAUGAAAAGCACUUUGGAAAGAGAGUCAAAUAGCACGUGAAAUUGUUGAAAGGGAAGCGCUUGCAGCCAGACUUGCUUGUAGUUGCUUAUCUGGACUUUUGUCCGGUGCACUCUUCUAUAGGCAGGCCAGCAUCAGUUUGGGCGGUUAGAUAAAGGUCUCUGUCAUGUACCUCUCCUCGGAGAGGCCUUAUAGGGGAGACGACAUGUAACCAGCCCAGACUGAGGUCCGCGCAUCUGCUAGGAUGCUGGCGUAAUGGCUGUAAGCGGCCCGUCUUGAAACACGGACCAAGGAGUCUAACAUCUAUGCGAGUGUUUGGGUGUCAAGCCCAGACGCGUAAUGAAAGUGAACGGAGGUAGGACCCCUUUGGGCGCACUAUCGACCGAUCCUGAUGUCUUCGGAAGGAUUUGAGUAAGAGCAUGGCUGUUGGGACCCGAAAGAUGGUGAACUAUGCUUGAAUAGGGUGAAGCCAGAGGAAACUCUGGUGGAGGCUCGCAGCGGUUCUGACGUGCAAAUCGAUCGUCAAAUAG